CAAGGAAAAUCUUGUCAGGAGUUUUACACUUUCAGGUGAAAUUACAAUGGGAUAUCACCACACACCUGUUAGAAUGGCUAUUAGAAAAAAGACA
rnacentral:lncRNA from 1 species